rnacentral:tRNA from 1 species
UCCCUUGUAACUCAGUUGGUAAAGAACCUGCCUACAAUUCAGGAGACCCAGGUUUGAUUUCUGGUUUGGGAA